CCAUCAUGGMUGCGGUGUAGCCGUGAGGGGUUCUCGUCUGUAGUGGACGGAAGCCGGGUGCACAACAACAAGCAAGCCAGACACACUAUUGGGUCCUGAGGCAACAUCUCUGUUGGUUUCGGGAUGUUGUCCCACCAUCUUGGUGGUGGGGUGUGGUGUUUGAGAUUGRAUAGUGGWUWRCRAAGA
rnacentral:misc_RNA from 1 species